rnacentral:rRNA from 1 species
CCUCCGUUGUUGUGCAGUGCUUACUAUUUUUCAAUUGCCGCGAGGCUUAACCAGCCAAGUCGCGUGAGGGGAGACGGCCCUACGGGUUGUAAACCUCUUUUGUCGGGGAGCAAAGCGAACCACGUGUGGUUCAUUGAGAGUAUCCGAAGAAAAAGCAUCGGCUAACUCCGUGCCAGCAGCCGCGGUAAUACGGAGGAUGCGAGCGUUAUCCGGAUUUAUUGGGUUGAAAGGGUGCGCAGGCGGAGGUGCAAGUCAGCGGUCAAAUUGCGGGGCGCAACCCCGUACUGCCGUUGAAACUGCAUCCCUUGAGUGCGCGAGAAGUAGGCGGAAUGCGUGGUGUAGCGGUGAAAUGCAUAGAUAUCACGCAGAACUCCGAUUGCGAAGGCAGCAUACCGGCGCGCAACUGACGCUCAUGCACGAAAGCGUGGGUAUCGAACAGGAUUAGAUACCCGUGUAGUC